rnacentral:rRNA from 1 species
UACGAAAGGUGCAAGCGUUACUCGGAAUCACUGGGCGUAAAGCGCACGUAGGCGGACUCGCAGGUCAAUUGUGAAAUCCCUGGGCUCAACCCGGGAACUGCAGUUGAAACCGCUUGUCUUGAAUACCUGAGAGGGUGGGGGAAUACCUGGUGGAGAAGUGAAAUUCGUAGAGAUCAGGUGGAACACCAGAGGCGAAGGCGCCUGCCUGGCAGUGUAUUGACGCUGAGGUGCGAAAGUGCGGGGAGCAAACAGG